AGCUNGCUCCUUUGACGUUAGCGGCGGACGGGUGANUAACACGUGGGUAACCUACCUAUAAGACUGGGAUAACUUCGGGAAACCGGAGCUAAUACCGGAUAACAUUUGGAACCGCAUGGUUCUAAAGUGAAAGAUGGUUUUGCUAUCACUUAUAGAUGGACCCGCGCCGUAUUAGCUAGUUGGUAAGGUAACGGCUUACCAAGGCGACGAUACGUAGCCGACCUGAGAGGGUGAUCGGCCACACUGGAACUGAGACACGGUCCAGACUCCUACGGGAGGCAGCAGUAGGGAAUCUUCCGCAAUGGGCGAAAGCCUGACGGAGCAACGCCGCGUGAGUGAUGAAGGGUUUCGGCUCGUAAAACUCUGUUAUUAGGGAAGAACAAAUGUGUAAGUAACUGUGCACGUCUUGACGGUACCUAAUCAGAAAGCCACGGCUAACUACGUGCCAGCAGCCGCGGUAAUACGUANGUGGCAAGCGUUAUCCGGAAUUAUUGNNCGUAAAGCGCGCGUANGCGGUUUCUUAAGUCUGAUGUGAAAGCCCACGGCUCNACCGUGGAGGGUCAUUGGAAACUGGGAAACUUGAGUGCAGAAGAGGAAAGUGGNAUUCCAUGUGUAGCGGUGAAAUGCGCAGANAUAUGGAGGAACACCAGNGGNNAAGGNGAC
rnacentral:rRNA from 1 species